CACGUCCGUUCUAUUCAUUCAAUACAUGUUACUGCGUCAAACUUGCCUUAUUGACAAGCCCAUGGGAGUCCGUCCGCUCAUUUUUCGCCAAAUAGCAUGCGUAAUCAGGCACCUUAUUUUGCAAUGUCUAUUAAUAUACUUUCCGUUUUUUUCACAUAAAUACGACACAAGAAUUGCUUUCGAAACUAAUGAGAGUUUGGGUGCACAAUUACUAGAGGAAUCGGUAAGUAAAUAUGUAAAAUAUAUGCCGUUUUUCACUACUAAGUCUAAGGUCAAUAAUUGAGUAGGCCUAUAUAUAAGGCCCAAUGCAGCAUGCGCAGACUCGGAAUAAUAUAUAUAGGCCUACACUUCAUACAAAUAGCGUAAAUAGUGAACAUCCAUAUACAAUAUACGUAUAUUAGCACUAUAAAGUCAAAAGUGUUUUUAAAUAUAUAAUGUAUCUAGCGAGUGUUUGAGUGAAAAUAAUUAAGUAUAUACUGUUAGUAUAUAGUCGUGAUUAUUCAAUUUUGGUUACCGUCAGUCGUGAAAUCACUAAAAAUGUUGCCGUGAAGCGUGAGGAAAAAACACUGUUUAAUAUACCUUUAAAAUACCAAAAUUUUUACCGUUUACUGAUUUUCAGACUCCCUCCCCCCAACCACUAAGCCGCGGUAUUGCAGAAUAUACACAAUAUACUCCACCAGUAUACAGUGUAUAUUGUGUAUACAUAUACUUUAGAGUAUAUACUCAUCUACUAUACACAGUUGACAAUAUACAUGUUUAUAUAGUCAAAACUGUAUAUAACUACUGUAUAUUCUCGCUUUUAUCAACUUGCUAGUCUGUAUAUAUAGUGUAUAUUGUGUAUAUAGUGUAUAUAUAUACAAAAUAUACACGACAAUAUACAUGUCUAUAUACACGG